GACCCGAACUCGCCUGGAACUCAGGCGAGUUCACUCAAAUGGCCCCCUCCCCUCCACGUCACCUUUAUUCCAAUGGUUUUGUAAAAAAAAACGAAUAUUCGCUCCAAUUUUGCACGAUUUUUGGUACGAAAGGACGAUUUGCUGGAUGAAUGGGAGCCGUGGAUGGAUGUAAAUCGAUCUAUGCCUUCCAUUUGUCCCAAAAAUCAUUCAAAAACGUGAAGGUUUUUCGGAUUUUUGGCAGAAGAUUUGAGAUUUUUUGAAGGCUAUAUAUAUGAGGUAAGUUUCUUUGCUAGAUUAGAGGAAAAAUCGGAGAAAAAGUCUUGAUAAAACUUAGUAGAAAAAUUCCUAGGUUUUUUUUAGUUGUCACCCUCUUCAGACCUCUUUCUUUUUUUAGUCAACUUUUUUCUUCAGAAAACAUACAAAAAAAGGCACGAUGGUUUGAGGUCAUUUCUUCAGUCGAGUUCACUUCAUCUUUUCAAAAAAUAAAAAAUCAAUAAAAAAGAGAGCACUGAAACAGAGAUUUUUAGCAUUUGUUCUUCCUCUUGAAGUUUUGGUUCUUAAAGGAAGUUUUGGUUAAAGUUUAAGGUGGAGUUGAGUUGGGUUUCGAAAAUUGGAUUUCAAAGAAAUUUUUAAAAAAGGGUAUUGAUUACUAGAGUUUCAAAACUUCAAUUUACUCUUUUUCUGGACUUGAACGAAGCUGUCAAAGCGCAAAUUUGUGGCUGUUUAUCGUUGAGUUUGCUGGACUCCAAAAGGCUGUUGAAUUCUUUUGUCUUGCUGC
rnacentral:lncRNA from 1 species